rfam:Oryza sativa Japonica Group DNA, chromosome 3, cultivar: Nipponbare, complete sequence.
UCUACCGUUAACCCUGGGUUUCCGUGUCCAACUUUGACUGUCCGUCUUAUAUGAAAUUUUUUUAUAAUUCGUAUUUUCAUUAUUAUUAGAUGAUAAAACAUGAUUAAUAUUUUAUGCGUGAUUUGUCUUUUUAAUUUUUUUCAUAAAUUUUUCAAAUAAGACGGACGGUCAAACGUUGGGCACGAAAACCAGAGUUUGUCUUUUU